rnacentral:rRNA from 1 species
UAACAGGAUUCCCCUAGUAACUGCGAGUGAAGCGGGAAAAGCUCAAAUUUAAAAUCUGGCGGUCUUUGGCCGUCCGAGUUGUAGUCUGGAGAAGUGCUUUCCGCGCUGGACCGUGUAUAAGUCUCUUGGAACAGAGCGUCAUAGAGGGUGAGAAUCCCGUCUUUGACACGGACUACCAGUGCUUUGUGAUGCGCUCUCGAAGAGUCGAGUUGUUUGGGAAUGCAGCUCAAAAUGGGUGGUAAAUUCCAUCUAAAGCUAAAUAUUGGCGAGAGACCGAUAGCGAACAAGUACCGUGAGGGAAAGAUGAAAAGCACUUUGGAAAGAGAGUUAAACAGUACGUGAAAUUGCUGAAAGGGAAACGCUUGAAGUCAGUCGCGUCUGCCGGAACUCAGCCUUGCUUUCGCUUGGUGCAUUUUCCGGUAGACGGGCCAGCAUCGAUUUUGACCGUCGGAUAAGGGCCAGGGAAAUGUGGCACCCUCGGGUGUGUUAUAGUCUCUGGUCGCAUACGACGGUUGGGAUCGAGGAACGCAGCGCGCCGCAAGGCAGGGGUUCGCCCACUUUCGCGCUUAGGAUGCUGGCGUAAUGGCUUUAAACGACCCGUCUUGAAACACGGACCAAGGAGUCUAACAUGCCUGCGAGUGUUUGGGUGGUAAACCCGAGCGCGUAAUGAAAGUGAAAGUUGAGACCUCUGUCGUGGAGGGCAUCGACGCCCGGACCUGACGUUCUCUGACGGAUCCGCGGUAGAGCAUGUAUGUUGGGACCCGAAAGAUGGUGAACUAUGCCUGAAUAGGGUGAAGCCAGAGGAAACUCUGGUGGAGGCUCGUAGCGAUUCUGACGUGCAAAUCGAUCGUCAAAUUUGGG